rnacentral:pre_miRNA from 1 species
AGAGGGAUAGCUGGGUCAAAUGGUGGUUCCAUUCCAAGGAAUCUCCAUACUGAUUUCCAGAUUGGCUGUACCAAUUUGCAGUCCCACCAGCAAU